UCAAUAUUCUAUAUAAGCCUGUGCAUUUUAUAUUUAUUCACAUACCUAUCUAACUCGUGUAACGAGUGUGUGGCGAGUAUGUGACACGGAUAAUCAGUCAGACAUAUAAUUAUCGAUACAGUUGGUGAGACGUUUACGUAAUAAUGAAAUGAAUCGUCUACAAAAUAUAGGAAGAAUAAUCGACACUAUAGUGACGGAAAGCAUAAAAUAUGGAAAAACAUCGGAAGUGUCGUGUCGGAGAAUCCAGGAUAAAAAUAGCAACUGCACAAUGCAUAGGUCAAUAUCAGAGGGAUUUUUGUCGCUUGGCAGGAAACUGGGAAAAAAGUGAAAACAUGUUUUACCAUAGUUACAAUGAGACGACCAUAUUUCGAUUUAAAUUCCAAUGGAUUUUUGAGACUGCUGAUAUAUUGUAAAA